UGUUGUUCAGUCCUCAACAAAAUACCAACAUUGAAACAAUACGGUGAAGAUUAAGCAUGGCACCUGCACAAGAAUGACGCGCAAAUUCGUGAAGUGUUCCAGAAAAUU
rnacentral:snRNA from 1 species